rnacentral:rRNA from 1 species
UACGGAGGGUGCGAGCGUUGUCCGGAAUCAUUGGGCGUAAAGGGCGCGUAGGCGGCCACCGCAAGUCGACUGUGAAAUCUCCGGGCUUAACCCGGAAAGGUCAGCCGAUACUGCGGGGCUAGAGUGCAGAAGGGGCAACUGGAAUUCUCGGUGUAGCGGUGAAAUGCGUAGAUAUCGAGAGGAACACCUGCGGCGAAGGCGGGUUGCUGGGCUGACACUGACGCUGAUGCGCGAAAGCUAGGGGAGCGAACGGG